rnacentral:rRNA from 1 species
GCUGGCGGCGUGCUUAACACAUGCAAGUCGCGUGCGCAGUUGCCGUAGCAAUACGGUAGCAGGCGCACGGCGCACGGGUGCGUAACACGUGGGCAAUCUACCCUUUGAUGGGGAAUAACCCGCCGAAAGGCGGGCUAAUUCCGCAUAAGAUUCUUUGAACCUUGGUUUGAAGAUUGAAAGCAGUAAUGCGUCGAAGGAGGAGCCCGCGCCCGAUUAGCUAGUUGGUGAGGUAACGGCUCACCAAGGCUAUGAUCGGUAGCUGGUCUGAGAGGAUGAUCAGCCACACUGGAACUGAGACACGGUCCAGACUCCUACGGGAGGCAGCAGUGGGGAAUCUUGCACAAUGGGCGAAAGCCUGAUGCAGCGACGCCGCGUGGGGGAUGAAGCUUCUCGGAGUGUAAACCCCUUUCGACUGGGAAGAAUGCCUCGCAAGAGGACUGACGGUACCAGUAUAAGAAGCCCCGGCUAACUACGUGCCAGCAGCCGCGGUAAGACGUAGGGGGCCAGCGUUGUUCGGAAUUACUGGGUGUAAAGGGUUCGUAGGCGGUGUGGCAAGUUGGGAGUGAAAUCUCUGGGCUCAACCCA